UCAAGCGCGGCCGAGCCGCUCCCGCCCCGCUCCUUUUAGAAACAUUCGUGCUGGGACGCGGCGGGAUCCUCGUCCGAGCGCUGUGCCGUGGCGACCCUGGGACCGCCCCUGGUGCUGCCCGAAUCCUGAGGCGCUCAGGUCACAGGAUAUACUGGGAUUGAGAGGGUUCCUGAAAUCCGACUCUCGAGGACACGGCCUGUGGGAGAAUUGAACUCACAACCUUGGCGCUACCUGGACUGUGCUCCAACUGACUGAGCCCUCUGCAUCCCAGCUGCGAGAGGCAGGAGGAGGCCAGGAGCCCCCGAAAGGCAUCCGGCACCUCUUGUCCUUGGGCCCUCGGGGCAGGAGCUGUGCCUGCAGUGUCCUGCCCGUGCCAAGCACACGGCCCGGGAUGGGCGCUGGGUGCCCGGCCGGCGCUGGCACGGACACGGCUCAAGGGCUGCCCGUGGCUCCUGGGCCAGGGGCUGCUCUGAACAGGCUCCUGGAGAUGCUUCAGCCUGGAUACAGGCCACUGACAGCCCAAAAGCAGCCCAAGGAGCAGCUAGCGUGUCCUGGUGAUGGUGGCACGGGCUGUGUGCAGAGGGGCUCAGACAGCAAUUCCUGGUUCCAGCCUCCCAGAGCUCCCAGGCAGCUGCCAGGCAGUCUUCCCUCACAGCUGCCAACCGACAGCCUGCAGAGAUGCCUUCAAAUCAAAGGUUCAGGUGGGAUGAAGUUUUGUUUGGACGAAGGUGGGAGUUUCCAGGGAGGCAGCUGGAAGUGCAGAAGGGAUGGAAAGCUUUCCCAGGUGGGUCCCACUGGAGGUGUGCUGAAGGCAGGGAUGUGCACCCUUUGCUGAGGGAAAAGAACUUGCAGAGGCCACUGCUGAGGCUCUGAAAGGAGCUGAGCUGCUGCAGGGAGAGAUGUCCUCCCGUGGGCACGGGGAGCUGCCUUGGCACGGGACGGGAGUGCCCCCGGCCCUGCCUUCUCCUGCUUGAAAAUAUCACCUGGAGCCCCGGCUCAGGGGGGCUAAAUCAGCUGAACUCCAGGCAGCUCUGUCAGCUGCCCCCCAGGGACAUGGGUGGGGCUGGGGGAUGAGGGCUUUAAAUAGCCAAUUCUUUGGAACAGAUGCCUGUCCCUGUCCCGAUGCUGCUGAGCUUCCUUGGACGCUCUGCCCGUUCCUGGCACAGCUGGCGUUCAAGGGGCAGCUCUGCACGGGAAUAUCCACCCUACAUGAGGCACUGUGAGGUUAUGACAUCACAUAUGAGCAUUACUGUAGCCAGCCCAGAGCUGGAGGUUUGUUUUAGAAAGAAAAUUUUUGGACUCUGCAAAAGUGAAAGCUCAGUUUCUACAAAAACCAUCUGGUUGUGACAUUGCACGCUCCAGACACUCUUCUCUCCUUGCCUGAGCAAAAGGUUUUACCUCCUGUACUAAAUCAGGAGAAGCACAAUGACAGAUUUCCACAUUCACUAAGCAUUAAAUAAGGGCUUCAAAAGAAAAAUCUGGGCAGCAGUAACUGUAAGAGCACUUGGCUUCAGUCUAACAGGCAAGCCUCAGAACAGCUGUUCACCUUUAGUGCUGCAGAGGUACUUCCAAGACAGUCACUAGAGGUCAGACAUCUAGGUCUUAUCACCUUUAUUUGUGGUGUUAAGAUUGCCAGCCCUUAAGGCCAGCAGAUCCUGAACAGGGAAUGGCCUCCUGCAUCAGGCAGGGCUCAGCGUGCCUUUACCUGCAGAAGGUCGGCUGAAUCCAUACAGGUCUCUGCACUGCAAAUGCACAUGAACAGUGGAAGAAAGCUCUCCAUGUGCUUCCUCAGGUACUUCCCAGUGGCACUGCUCAGACACCAGAGCUCCAACUGCAGCAGGUGAGUCCUGGAGUGCUGGAUCAGCAUGGCCACAAUGGCCAGGGAGGUGAGUGAGCACUGGGCAAGGCAGUGAGCCUGCACCUCGACACCACCUGUGAGAGCAAGGACUGGCUCACUCUGGAGAGCCUGAAGGAAAACUCGCUCCAAAUCUCUUCUGGCCGAUGCUGACAUCAAUUUCCCCAAAGCCUUAAUGUGCUCUGUGGACAGCAGAAGUUCUCCUUGCUGGGGCUGUCUUUGGUGGCUGUCUGUAAAGAGCUGCACCAAAGUUUGUCCAUAGAAGCUUGGAACGGCAAGGCAAGAGCGAUCUCGGAGCAGAAGAAGGAGCACGAGAGGCCCUCUGGGCAAAAGGCCUUGGUGGCACGGCCAGGGCACCUUCAAGGUGCCGCGGCUGACUUUGCUUGUGCUGGGCGACCUCCCUGCGUGCAGGGCUGCGUCUUUGCUCUGGUUGGCCUUUGCCGUUGUGCUCCUUUGGCUGCCUGGAGAGAGGGGCAACCCUGUAAGGAGGGUGAGAGCCCCUUUUCUCCGCACCUGAGGGGGGAAACGGAGCUCCCCGAGCCCCCAGCCCGGCCGCCCUGUAAGCGGGGCAGGGCUUUUUCCCAGCCGUGGCAGCUUUCUGCCUGCUGCUGGCCCCUGGCCAGCGUGACCCCCUGUACUCAGGGGCGCGUCACAGCCUCUGUCCCCGUAGCAGCCCUGAAGCGCCUCAGCGCGUCGAGGCCCCUGUGCCCUCCCCACGGUGCGGUGCGGUGCAGGUCUGAUGCUUUUGUCUCCUGCUGAGCACUGGGGGUGGCUCCCUUGAGCCCUUUGGCUGCACGGGACUCGCUCCCUCUUCUGGGACAACUGUCUUCCCCUCCCUCCCUUGUCAUUGCGUUAGGUGGUGUGAGUGAGCCUGGCGCGUUUGCGCUUUAGCCCCCCUUUAGAAAUAGAGCAGGGUAGCUUAGGCUUCCCAGGAGAGCCCGAGGAGCUCUGUGCAGCCACAAGCCGGUCCCCAAAACGCUUGCGUGGACAAAGUGUCUGGCCUCGCCCCUGCUUUCUGCGGAGGGCACGAAGCCGCUUAACGGUAGCGUGGGCAACGUGACCCGCCUGUAGCCAGGGCCUGGGUCUGGGCCUAGGGUGCCCUUUGUGCUGGUGAACUGGCAGCGUGCAGGCCCCUUAACCUGGGCACGUGUCAGGAACUUGCUUGUCCCUUUUUCCCCAGGAGCAGCCCCAGGGCCCUGUAAGCAGAGGUGGGGAGGCUGCCUUAGCCGGGUGACAGGAACGCCUGCGCCCGGGCCUUUGCCCCUAAGCGGGGCGCAGGCCGGAGCCCGUGCUCCGUGGCGCUUGUUGGGGGGGUGCCGGGCUGCGGGGGGCGGCCCCGUAAGCGGGGUUGUGUGCGCCCCCUGGUCUCGGCGGGCGGUUGGAGGGACCCCCUGUAAUCAGGCGGGUGUCCCUGGCCCCAGCCUAUCAGAGGCAUGGGGCCAGGAGUGGUGGGGCCGGGCGUGUGCCCUCCCUUUCGCCGGGGCUGGGCUCCCGGCCCCUGGGGCCCCUGGGGUCCUUGGCCUUUAGGCCGUGAGUUGGGCUGCCUGACUGUGGAGUCUGGUUCCUGUUGCCCUGGGGGAAGGCCGAGCUCCGUGGCUCCCUGGGUGCGGACCGGCCUGUAAGCAGGCUGUGGGUCCGGGCGCCUUUGUGCGCCCUUCAGCUGGCAGCCUGCGUUGAGCGCCCUCGCCGUUAGUGGGGAGUGGGCCCGAAUUGGAGAGAAGGAGCCUCCGUAGGCCUCGGGGACCAGGGCCGCCCUGUAAGUCGGGGCCGGUGCUCUGGAGUCCCGGGCAUUUUGCAGUGCAGGCAGCGGCUGGGACCGCCCUGUAAGCAGGGGUGCAGCCUCUUGCGCGCUGCUUUGCUUUGUGCCCAGCUUCUUUUGCCCAGAGGGCCCGGCUCCCAGCGCGGCGUUGGACUUUGGCGGACGUCGAGGUGGAGCCGAGCGACGGCCGGGCAAGGACAAGCUGGAUGAGCGUCAGCUUCGAGGUCAAGAGUGGAACGGCGAGGCAAGA